UACGGGAGGCAGCAGUGAGGAAUAUUGGUCAAUGGUCGCAAGACUGAACCAGCCAUGCCGCGUGCAGGAAGACGGUCCUAUGGAUUGUAAACUGCUUUUAUACAGGAAGAAACCCUCCCACGUGUGGGAGCUUGACGGUACUGUAGGAAUAAGGAUCGGCUAACUCCGUGCCAGCAGCCGCGGUAAUACGGAGGAUCCAAGCGUUAUCCGGAAUCAUUGGGUUUAAAGGGUCCGUAGGCGGUCUUAUAAGUCAGUGGUGAAAGCCCAUCGCUCAACGAUGGAACUCCCAUUGAUACUGUAAGACUUGAAUGCUUAGGAAGUAACUAGAAUAUGUAGUGUAGCGGUGAAAUGCUUAGAUAUUACAUGGAAUACCAAUUGCGAAGGCAGGUUACUAAUAAGUGAUUGACGCUGAUGGACGAAAGCGUGGGGAGCGAACAGGAUUAGAUACCCUGGUAGUCCACGCCGUAAACGAUGGAUACUAGCUGUUCGGCGCAAGUUGAGUGGCUAAGCGAAAGUGAUAAG
rnacentral:rRNA from 1 species